rnacentral:rRNA from 1 species
GCAGUCGCCGCGGUAAUACGUAGGUGGCAAGCGUUGUCCGGAAUUAUUGGGCGUAAAGGGCUCGCAGGCGGUUUCUUAAGUCUGAUGUGAAAGCCCCCGGCUCAACCGGGGAGGGUCAUUGGAAACUGGGAAACUUGAGUGCAGAAGAGGAGAGUGGAAUUCCACGUGUAGCGGUGAAAUGCGUAGAGAUGUGGAGGAACACCAGUGGCGAAGGCGACUCUCUGGUCUGUAACUGACGCUGAGGAGCGAAAGCGUGGGGAGCGAACAGGAUUAGAGACCCCUGUAGUCCCUGUCUCUUAUAA